rnacentral:lncRNA from 1 species
UUUAUGAAAAUGCCAAAAGUUUUUUUAUUCAAAACAAAAACCCAUACUUAUAGUGUAGCUAAACAAAAAGAUAAAAAUAGACAUGGGCCUUUUAAACAGUUUGGGCCAAAAUUACAAUAAAAAUAAAUUAUAACUAAAAACUUAUUUAACUUGGGCCUUCAAAUUAGUUUGGGCCUUCAGCAACAAUUAAUAGUCUUGAUAGUGUCUCUGCCUCUGGGCCUUCAUCCUUCUCCACUUGGGCCUUCAUCCUUCUCCACUUGGGGGCUUUGUCCUUCUCCACUUGGGCCUUCGUCCUUCUCCACUUGGGCCUUUAGCCUGUAUUUGGCCAGUUUCAUGAUUCUCAUCAAAUUAUAAAAUACAAUACUGGGUACAGAAAUCAUGCAUAAUACAGCUAUAUACUUGCUGUCAGAGAUAAAAGUCUCUUACAGAGAUUACUCUCUUCCCUGAAACGGAAAAUGACAACACACUUUCCUAAUUACACAACCUACAAUCAGAUAUAAUCCUAAUAGGUAACUGCCAAAUGUUAUUUUCCAUGAAUAACUGCCAUCGUGCACUUUCAAAUACAGAACUAAUGCUUAAUUACUAAUACGAGUAAGUUAUUUCAUAUCACAUAUACUCCUAAUAAUAAUUGCCUCCAAUCCAUCAAUAGAUCCUUCCUAACCCACUUGAAUUUUGGCUCCCAUCAUAUCACCAACUUACCUUUUAUUGAUAGUACAAGUUUAUAUGAUAUUUCCAGAUUCAAGGAAAACUGUACCUUAGAAUUGACCAUAAAGGUGAAGGUGCUAAUUGGUGUCGCACAGUUGGGCAGGAAUUAUAUUCACCAUUGCUGUUGGCCUUCACAGAACAGGUAAAAUGAAGGGAGAUCCCCCCCUCCCCCAAAAAUAAAAUAAAAUGAUAGUUAAAUCAUUUGUCAUAACUGGUUUCCACUUGUGAUGCAGGAAGGAGACAAUUGGUUGCAUUUCAUUCCAUCAACAUUUUCUGGCAUAGAUUCUUCCUACAGUUUACCUGACAACACUGCUCUUUUAACCCUCCAGGUAUGAGAGGGAGAACGAUAGGGACAUUUAGAGAGAAAAUAGAAGAUGAAGUUUAAGAUGCCUUCUAACAUUUUUACCUCAUCUUUAUUUCUGAUGUGUAUCUAUUGUUUUUAUGAACUUCUGCAGGAAUUUAAAAAUGGAAAAGUACUCCUAAGAUUGGCUCACCUUUAUGAGGUUGUAUUUUUUUUUACUGAUGUAUUGAUAACUUUGGUUCUCUCUUAAAGAUUUAAUCUACCCUUUCAGAAUGAUCUUCUAAGGAUUGCUUGACUGCAAUUUUAUAUUCUUAACCAUGAUUGGAAUGAUUUUUUCAGUGACCUGUGUUUUACUUGCAUUUAACCUAUGCUAUAAAAUGCAAACAUGCAUGCAUUUCUAUCAAAGUAUGGAAAUAAUAUUUGUAUAUGUAACUGUUAGAGAUCAAUAACAGUUUGUCCAUGCAACUAUACAGGUAAGUUUACCCUUGCAAAGAACUUUAUAACCUAGCUAUGAAUGAUUUAUGAUAUUUGUCAUGCAUCAAGAGUCAGUACAAUGUACAACAACUUUUUCCUCUAUCUUAAUCGUCUAUCAAAUAUUGUGCUUUACAUUCAGAAAUCAAAUAUCCUUUAUUCUUGCAUUGAUGUUUGGUGCCUAUUUACAUACAAAGAUUGGAGAGGACAAAAAUUACUCAGUAACGGCAAGUGUGGAAUUGAAAAAAUUGUUCCCUAACAAGAAGGUAAGAGUGAUAGCUAACCACUCCAAGUUAGUUUUUUUCACACAUGUACUCUUGUAUAGUUUCCUUUUUGACAACUCAACCUUUUCACAUAAAUAAAGCAACAGAGAUGAGUUUGUCUGCUAAUCAAGAAAGAGCUGUAAUGGAAAAGAGGAAGCUAGAUUGGAAGGUAGAAACCUGUUGAUCCUAUGAAGUUGGUGGUCGAACUUGCUCCAAUGGAGAUUCGAACAUUCUUUAUUGAAUUUGAUCCCCUCCAAACAGUUCCUGAAGCUGAAAAUCAUGUGGCAAUGUAGCAAAGCAUCCAACACAGUAGCAUCUAUGCAUUGUCCGGCUGUAAUAUGAUAUUCCCAUGGAAUAUAUGUUUUAUUGUUGUAGUGCCCUCAACAUGUUGCUGGAAAAUGUGUAUUUCUGUAUAAGCUUUUGUAAACAAAUAAAAAGUUCUGUAACUUGAGUCUCGGUGACUAUUAAUAUAAGAGUUGCACACACUAAAACUUCCUAGAAGUUUUUUGUUUUGUAAAUAGUGAAAUAUGAGGUGCUCAUACAUGUUGGUCUUUUCUCCUUCUGUUAGCAUUAAGCUCUAAUGAAUCAGUGACUUGUCACCAUUUCAAAAUAUUUGUGCGAUUCAAAGGUUUACAUAACCAUUUUAUAUUUUUCGCAAAUAUCAAGUUAAUUAUGAGUUGAUACAUUUUUGCAUUAGUAUAGUGAGGAUAUGGCUUAAUUCACAUGACUUGUGCAGAGUAAGACUGUAUUAAGUGACUCUUUGCAAUGCUAGAAUUUUUUGCAGACCUUUUAUCGAGCUAUGCACUAAAAGCAAUUCGUGGUGGACGACACGGUAAUCGAAUAUUCGAG